GCAGGGUUUACUGAUGAGCUACAACCCCAGCCUGCCCCACCUUAUCUUUUUAAAUACUUCUUUUAAAUUGUGCAAGAGCUUGCUGACACUCCCUAGUUCCCACACUUCUUUCCUGGCACGUCUUUCAGGCUGGCCUCUCUAGCACUGCCUCCUCUCUAUCGUCACACUUCAUCUAAUAGCACAAGAAUAGAAGCACGAAGCUGGGCGGUGGUGGCACACACCUUUAAUCCUGGCACUCAGGAGGCAGAGGCAGAGGGAGCUCUGUGAGUUCGAGGCCAGCCUGGUCUACGAAGUUAGUUCCAGGACAGCCAGCGCUUCACAGAGAAACCCUGUCUCGAAAAACAAAAACAAAGGAUCGGAGAGAUGGCUCAGGGGUGAAGAUCCUUGCUGCUAAGCCAGGCCACUUGUCUUAGGGUUUCUUUUGCUUAGACAAAACACCAUGACCAAAAGAAGGAUCCGAGUGUCCUGCGUGUAUUUCUUGCUGGCGAGGAAUACAGAGCGGGCGCGGGACAUAUGGUGCCGAAACCCGGGAAGCUUAACAUCUCCAGCACCUCAGAGACCCCUCUAACGAGGCGGAUUCAGAACUGCAGGGUGGUAAAUUCGGAGAGGUAUGAUUUUUCUGGACUUUGGCUUGGGAAUGUUGCUAUUUUGGGAGGUUAAUCUAUUUUGACUUUUCUCACUGUUGUAACAAUCUUAAAGAAGUCCAAAAUUACAUAUCAGAAACCGAAUGUAAUGAGAAAAAUUCGGAGAGGUAUGAUUUUUCUAGACUUUGGCUUGGGAAUGUUACUAUUUUGGGAGGUUAAUAUAGAGGCUUCUAUGCUUUUACUAGGAGCUAUUUUGACUUUUCUCACUGUUGUAGCAAUCUUAAAGAAGUACAGAAUUACAUAUCAGAAACCGAAUAUGGUGAGAGAUGGGGCGCGCCUAACAAUAAAAUAUAAGAAAAAAGGACCUCCCGGGAUGUCUAGUGACAUGGGAGUGUAUAUAAGAAAAAAAACUACAACAAAUAAGAAAAAAAGACCUCCUGGAAUGUCUACUGACAAGGGAGUGUAUAAAGCUUUAAAUCUUGAUAGCUCUGAUAACUCUAAAAGCUCAAGAGAUAAAGUUUUAAAAGAAACAGCUCAGCUAGAUGAGGGAGAGACAGAGAAGGAGGGAGAGAGAAUGGGGAAUGGCCGGUCACACCCCGGUAAAUUUAGGAGAGAUGAGGAACCUAGCCUCUGCCCUGCAACGAAACUGGAAGCCUUGGAGCUGAGCAGCUCAGACUCUGAGAUUUUAGACUCUAACAAGGAAGCAGAGCUAGAGGAGGAGCUGCCAAAAGUAAAAACAAAUAUGAGGCCAUCGCCUGUUAAUUCAGCGGGUGUACUUCUAUCAGCACACCCACUAUUUGGUACCGACUCCUUUUUACCAUCAGAGGAGAGGAGAAAAUUACAGAUGGCUUUCCCAGUCUUUGAUAGGGGAAAAGGCCAUGCCUGCUAUUCAACACUUCUUAAAGGCCUGGAAUGCCUGGGGCUUUAAAGCCUCAUUUACAUUAACGCUGGGGGCCAUACCGAGGCCAAGAGUCUCACCUCAAAAACUAAAAGGCCAAAAGGAAAUGGUAAAAUGGAAAGAUAUCUUAACUGAUUUUUGGAAAGACCCGGAUCCUAUUCUCAUAAGAUCCAGGGGAGCGAUAUUGUGUUUUUUCCACAGGAUGAAGAAAAUCCUCUGUGGAUCCCAGAAAGACUCACCCGAAGAGCCUCUACAGACCUUCAAAAGUCGAAACUCCACCCUCUACCCCCGGGAGUUGAGAGCCGCUAUUGUUAUCCAGAUUAACUCCUGUCCUUGGCGGAGAGAUAACAAGGGGUGGGGGUAAUUGUUCGAUACAGCCGUUUACAGAUUGCUGUUAUUUUUGGCGGGUCUGUGAGAAAAGGGGUGGAUAUGCAGCCGCCUGCGAAAUGCUGUUACUUCUUUGGCUGGCAUGUAAGCUCCAGGGCUCAAACCAAGAGAUCAUCCAAGCGCUUAUAUUUUGGCUAAGCGAUAGGCCGCCGGCCAGACAGCUCUUGCACACCCGGAGCCUAGGCUCACUGCACAGGGUAGAGUGUCUGGUUUGUGCAGCCCCAAAGAGGGAUGCUGAGCAUAGGCAUCGCACAGAGUUGCCUAUUAUACAGGCUUCUCUGGGAGGUACGUUGACCUGCAUAAGGGUUACCUGCCCUGAGAAUCCCCUUUCCCAGAAAAACGGCAGAGGACAGGUCGGGAGUACUUCGGGUCAAGCUGACAGCCUGAUGGUGACUCUCGUACACAGUCUUAAUGUUUGAUUUUGGGAAGGUCAACCCCUGCCUCUAUCCCUCAACAUAUGGGUGACCUAUUUGCUUGUAAUAAUAUAAAGCCUUUUCAU
ensembl:lncRNA